CCCUUUAUCCGCCCCGACUCCCCUGAUCUCGCCGUCCUCCUCUUUCAGAUCCUCCCCCUCCUCAUCCACGACCGUCGCCACCUCCCCAUCCAUGGCCAUCUGCCCCUAUGUGUCCCGCAACCGCCGCGACGACAUCCUCGUCCCCAGAGGCGGGGACUUCCCUUAAGGCGAACCUAGUGCACGUGGCGCCGGUACCAUUGAUGCGGGUCGGGCGGCGGUCAGAUCUGCCACGGCCAGAACCGGCGUCCUCUUCCUCCCUAUCUAGCUUCCUCCCAUGGCUGAGAAGAGGGCUUCGUCAAGGAUCCCAUGACGGAGGUCAAUGUGGGAGGCUGCUUCCUCCGAUCCCAGAUCGACCAUCCGUCGAUGGAGGCCAUGAGAGCCACAUGGGCACACACAUGGCUGCGCUUCAAGGUCAACCCUCGCCCAUCCUUUCUCUUCGAUUUGAUUUGAUCUCCUCCCCUAAUUUCCUUCGCCACGCAGCUGCAGCUUGAUAGAUGCAGGGACGCCGCCAUGAAACAGUCAGGGCCUCCCUUCUCUUCCCGUUUAGUCCGAUCCGCCACUGCCAGCCAUUUCCGGCGCCCCUGCACCAAAGCGGUGAAGGGCACAAUGAUGAAUUCAAUGCAAGAUCCUACUGGUGAUCCAACAGAUGGGAGCCCAAUAGACGCAAACACAUAAGAUGCCUAAGAAAAGGACUGGCAAAUAAAAUAGGAAUCCAAACUUGCAAAAUUCUCUUUUACAUACCGCUAGUACUACUGGGACUCUAGGUACAAGGCACAAUGUAAUUGCUCCAAAUAUGCUCAUACAAGUUGCAACAAUGAAUUCUCAAAUGUUUCGAGCAAUGGAUCCAAAGAUUUAGCUGGAAUGGACUCUAGACCACGGACAAUUUAAUCUUUGCUCUUAAUUAGGAUGGCACAUUCAGUAUGUUGAAUGCAUGCUAAAUUAUAUUACAGUUUAUUGUGAUGGAUAUUGGGUAUGCAAACUUUGAUGUCUGAUGAAUCUACAUCAUACAUGCAUUAUUUGAAUUUUGUAAUUGAAUGCCUGUAUAUUUUUUCGGCUACAGUAGGCUAUUACCACAAACUACUUUUGGUUGCAACAUGUUGGCAGCACGAAAAA